UGUCUCCUCCAUGUCUCCUCUGAUAUGGAUUCCGCUCGCCACUUAGGUGGUUUUUUU
rnacentral:ncRNA from 1 species